CAUUACUGGAAGUUUGAGGAAUCGAUGUUCCUGCCAUUAGGUUAGAGGCUACCCAGAUGGAAUAUAAGGUGUUGCUCCUUCAAUGCAAGUGUGGCCUCAUCACAACAGUAGAGGAGGCCACAGAUAGACGUAUUGGAAUGGGAAUUGGAAGUGGAACUAAAAUGGGUGGCUUACUGGGAGAUCACAUUUUUUUUCUGGCUGACAGAGCAUAGGUACUUGGCAAAGCGGUUUCCCAAACUAUGUCAGGUAUCACCGAUAGACAGGAGCCACACCAGGAGCACUGAACACAAUCGAUGACCCCAACAGACUCACAGGUGAAGUGUUGCCUCACCUGGAAGGCCUGUUUAGGGCCCUGAAUGCUACUGAGGGAGGUGGUGUAGGGGCAGGUGCGGCACUUAAUUCCGCUUGCAAGGAUAAGUGCCAGGAGGGAGAUCAGUUGGGAGGGACGAAUGGGAAUGAGAGCGAUCCCUGCGGAAAGCAGGAGGGGGGGGGGGGAGAUGUGCUUGGUGGUGGGAUCCUGUUGGAGAUGGCAGAAAUUUUGGAGAAUUAUGUGCUGGAUGCAGAGGCUGACAAGGUGAUAGAUGAGGACCAGAGGAACCCUAUUCCUGGUAGGGUGACACUAGGAUGGGGGCAAGAGCAGGCGUGUGAGAAGUGAUCAAAUGGUGGGGUGGACAGAUGUGACAAAUGAACAACUUCUGUUCCAAUGUUCUUUUGGUGCGUUUUUUCUGGCAUUUUCAGUUUACCUAGGGGCUACUUGCUGGGCUGUGCAAGUAACUUAGCAACUCAAUGCAUAGAAGCAUGCAGACAAGGUCAAGAGACUGGGGUGUCAUUCAGACCAAACAUCAGACCAAUUGAGGGGGGAGGGAAGGGGGGAAUAUAGUGAGAAGCUGGGGAGGGGGGUGUUAGGGGGAUAAGUUACAGGGCUGAAGCUUGACACGGACAUUUGUGGGUUGAAGGGCCUGUUCCUUUGCUGUGUUCUAACAGGGACAGUUACUGUAAUGCUUCAUAGCGCUGGGAAUCGGGGUUCAACUCCGGCCGCUGUCUGUAAUGAGCUUGCUGGUUCUCCCUGUGACCGUGUGGGUUUGCUCUGGACGUUCCCGUCCCCCCACACACACUCCGAAGACGAGCGGGGUAGGGUUGGUGAGUUGGGGGCGUGCUCCGUCCGCGCUGGAAGCGUGGCGACGGGACAUCCCCAGAGCGUUAACACAAACGACGCAUUUCACUGCAAGUUUCGAUGUACCAGCGACAAAGAAAGCCAAAUCAUAUCACACAAUCAUUUUUAUCGCCAGUGUGCAAAACAUAGCAGAAUUGAAUGUGGUUCGAAUGUGAAACACCUGACAAUACCGUAACAGACAACACAACAGCAACCAACAAUUUACAAGACAUCGUGCAAACAGCCAUGAGCAAUCUACAGUUAGUAGAACACGCGCAAUCAAACUAAACGUGACCAUACAAAGAGACCGAAUAACUAUCAACAGAACAAGGAGAACAGGAAAGAGCAUUUAGCGGAUGUUGUACUCGGACCGUUCGGAUACUGGGAAUCUGAAAUCGAAGCAAAAGGUAUCGACAACCCUGAGACGCUCAUUGAGAGACACAAAACUAAUGGCCGGGAAGUGAUCUGCAUCAGCAACUUCCAGCGAAAAUUCAGAUGUCAUGACGAAUCUUCGCAAACUUCUAAGGAAGUAGAGGUGCUGCCAUGCUUUCUUUGUAAUUGCACUUGCCUGCCGGGCCCAAGACAAGUCCUCUGAAAUGAUAACGCUAAGAAAUUUAAAGUUGCUGACCCUCUCCGUCUCUGAUCCUUUGAUGAGGACUGGCUCAUAAACCCUUGGUUUCCUCCUCUUGAAGCCAAUAAUCAGCUUCUUGGUCUUGCUGACUCUGAGGGAGAGGUGGUUGUUAUGACAUCACUCAGCCAGAAUUUCAAUCUCCUUUCCAUAUGCUGAUUUGUCACAGCCCUUGAUUCAGCUGUCAGUAAUGGUGUCAGCAAAAUUAAAUAUAGUGUAAAGGGGGUUUCUUCUUUUUUCUUUGUACUGUGUAUGUAAUCAAAAUGGCUUCUUUGUUUUGUUAAAAGCAGGAAUGCUUCUUUGUUGCGAGAGAGUGCUGGAAGCUUGUUUGGGUUAAAAUUUACUAAUAACGAGAAUUAUAUUCCUUUGUAAACCAAUUGGGAUUAAUGUUGUUCUUUCUUCUGAGUCUGUAAGCUAUUGUUGGCGGGCUUUUGGGCAGAUCGGCAUGACGGGGUGAGAGAGAGAGGACGCGAUGCUGUAAACUGGGUGAGGAACGGACUCCAAGGAGGUACUCCGAGGAGAGGAGAUGAAGCUAGGUGUGCUUGGUUGACCACUCGGAGGGUCCUGAGCUGCGAGUCGAGGAGUUCGGAGGGGAACGAAUGGUGGUCAGAAGACUUAAAUAAUUGAGCUCCAAUGGUUGUGCACGAAGUGGUUUGGACUUUGAUAAGUUUGGUGUCUUUUCUUUAUUUCUUCUUCAUAUAUACUGUAUCAUUAUUAAUCACUUAGUUAUA